AAAUUGAAGAGUUUGAUCAUGGCUCAGAUUGAACGCUGGCGGCAGGCCUAACACAUGCAAGUCGAACGGUAACAGGAAACAGCUUGCUGAUUUGCUGACGAGUGGCGGACGGGUGAGUAAUGUCUGGGAAACUGCCUGAUGGAGGGGGAUAACUACUGGAAACGGUA
rnacentral:rRNA from 1 species